GGCGUCGAUAUUCGACGUCAUAAACACGAUAAACUUUGCUGUUUAGGACGUCGAUAUUCGACGUCAUAAACACGAUCAACUAUAGUGUUUAUGACGUCGAUAUUCGACGUGAUAAACACGAUCAACUUUGGUGUUUAUGGCGUCGGUAUUCGAAGUCAUAAACGCGAUCAAAUUUAGUGUUUAUAACGUCGAUAUUCGACGUCAUAAAUACGGUCAACUUUGGUAUUUAUGGCGUCGAUAUUCGACGUC
rnacentral:miRNA from 1 species